rnacentral:rRNA from 1 species
UACAGAGGGUGCAAGCGUUGCUCGGAAUCAUUGGGCGUAAAGGGUAGGUAGGUGGUCUCAUUUGUCUGGGGUGAAAGCCCAGGGCUUAACCCUGGAAGUGCCCCGGAAACGGUGAGACUGGAGUCUUGGAGAGGGUCGUGGAAUUCCCGGUGUAGCGGUGAAAUGCGUAGAGAUCGGGAGGAACACCAGAGGCGAAGGCGGCGACCUGGACAAGUACUGACACUCAACUACGAAAGCGUGGGGAGCAAACAGG